ensembl:lincRNA
AUGACUGCCAGCAAAAAACUUGGGAACCGAGAAUGCAAUCAUCCUUGUAAAAGUAAACAUACAUGUGGACAUGACUGCUGUAAAAUUGGAGUUGCACAGAAGUCAGAAAUUAAAGAGUCAACAAUUUCUUCAUAUUUAUCUGAUUUAAGAAACAGGAAUGCUGUUUCAUCUGUUCCUCCAGUUAAACGUCUGAAGAUACAGAUGAAUAAAUCUCAAAGUGUGGACCUUAAAGAGUUUGGUUUUACUCCAAAACCUUCCCUUCCUAGUAUAUCAAGGUCAGAAUAUUUAAACAUAUCUGAAUUACCUAUAAUGGAACAGUGGGAUCAGCCUGAAAUCUAUGGAAAAGUUAGACAAGAACCAUCUGAAUAUCAAGACAAAGAAGUUUUGAAUGUGAACUUUGAAUUGGGAAAUGAAGUUCGGGAUGAUUUUGAUGAGGAAAACUUAGAAGUUACUAGCUUUUCAACUGAUACUGAGAAGACAAAAAUAUCAGGAUUUGGAAACACUUUCAGUUCAAGUACCAGGGGAAGUAAGCUACCCCUUCAAGAGUCAAAGAGCAAAUUCCAAAGAGAAAUGUCAAACAGUUUUGUUUCAUCACAUGAGAUGUCAGAUAUUUCUUUAUCAAAUUCUGCUAUGCCCAAGUUCAGUGCAUCCUCCAUGACAAAAUUACCUCAACAAGCCGGAAAUGCAGUUCUUUUCCAUUUUCAAGAAAGAAAACCACAAAAUCUGUCACCAGAGAUUGAGAAGCUAUGCUUUACUUGCUCUGAAAAAAAACCAAAGUCUUCAAAUUAUAAAAAAGUGGAUUUUUUUAUUAGAAACAGUGAAUGUAAAAAGGAAGUUGAUUUCAGUAUGUAUCAUCCUGAUGAUGAAGCUGAUGAAAUGAAGUCUUUAUUGGGAAUAUUUGAUGGUAUUUUCUAAAACAAACAAAUGCUUUUAUAUUAAUAAGAGAAAGAAUAAAGACACCUAAUCACAAAGCACGCUUUUCAUUUUUAAAAAGUAGUUCAUAAUUGUUCAGAGUUUUUCUCCUGAAUUUGAUUAGCUUUGUUCACUUUUUGCAACAAAAUAUGUGGACCGAUUUAUUUUCCCAUUAUAUUGUAACUUCUUGAAAAGCUCUUUUACAGUGGCUUUGUUUCAAUAAGCCCUUAACUUAAGGGCUUAUUGCACUUAGAAAUAAGUUGCACUUAGAAAUAAUUAUUCGGUUAUUAAUUGGAUUUUGACAAGAACCAAUGUAAAAUUUUAUUUUUAUAUUUUGUUAAGAAGAAAAAUAUUCUUUGAAAGCAAAAUAAUGCUAAUGCAAUGAAUCUGCUUAUUGUAUGGAUUAAUCACUAAUAUUAUUCCCAUGUAUUUUGUUUUACUAAGAUUUUUAAGAAUCCAAUGACUAUUUGAACCUACUGUUACCUAACUUUGAGCAACAAUAAAUGAAACAUUAAUCAGUAUAAUUGUUGUUUUCAUCUAGCUUGUUUUUCAAUGUCGUGAAUUCUUAAACUUUGUUGACUUUUACCGUAGUAAAAAGAUUUUAUAUUUUUUUCCAAGGAAUUACAUUUCAAAUUCAUUUAUUGAUAAGUAUUAUAAAGGUACCCUAAGCAAUGUUUAUUAUCAAAAUUUUUAAUAGGUACUAUUAGAAGUUGAGGCCCACUUAAGAACUUUUAGG